CCUACGGGAGGGCUGCAGUGAGGAAGAUGGGGCAAUGGAAGCAAGGCUGAACCAGCCAUGCAGAGUGCAGGAUGAAGGCUCGAUGAGUUGGAAACUGCUUUUGGACGAGGGGAAACCCCGAUACGUGUAUCGGGUUGAAAGUAUCGUACGAAGAAGGAGCGGCUAACUCCGUGCCAGCAGCCGCGGUAAUACGGAGGAUCCGAGCGUUAUCCGGAUUUAUUGGGUUUAAAGGGUGCGUAGGCGGUUUGAUAAGUUAGAGGUGAAAUGUCGGGGCUCAACCCCGAAACUGCCUCUCAUACUGUUGGACUAGAGGAUAGUUGCGGUAGGCGGAAUGUAUGGUGUAGCGGUGAACUGCUUAGAGAUCAUACAGAACACCGAUUGCGAAGGCAGCUUACCAAACUAUAUCUGACGUUGAGGCACGAAAGCGUGGGUAGCAAACAGGAUUAGAUACCCCAGUAGUC
rnacentral:rRNA from 1 species